UCUUCCCUCUGUCGGCGUGCCUAAUACAUGCAAGUCGAACGGGGAGUAGCAAUACUCUUAGUGGCGAACGGGUGAGUAACGCGUUGGUACCUGCCCCGAAGCGGGGGAUAACGUACCGAAAGGUUCGCUAAUACCCCAUUUGCUCGGUAACGAGUAAAGGUGAAAACCACUUUGGGAGGGGCAUGCGUCCCAUCAGCUAGGUGGUAAGGUAACGUCUUACCACGGAGAUGACGGGUAGGGGACCUGAGAGGGUGGCCCCCCACAAUGGAACUGAAACACGGUCCAGACAACUACGAGUGGCAGCAGUAGGGACUAUUGGGAAUGGGCGCAAGCCGGAACCAGCAACGGCGCGUGGGCGAUGACUGCCUUCGGGGUGUAAAGCACGUUUGACAGGGACGAGGAAGGACGGUACCGGUCGAAUCAGCCUCGGCUAACUACGUG
rnacentral:rRNA from 1 species